CCGCCAAUGCAAGUUUUAAAGGAAUGUUGGAAAUGAAUUGACAUCAGUAAUCUCACAUGAGUACACAAAUUCAAGGAACGCUGAAGAUGAAUUGACAUCAGCAGUCCUGAUGGUGCCGCCAGUGCAACGUGAGGAAUAUUGCAGAUGAAUUGACAUAAGUAAUCUCUGAUGGACCCGCCAGUGCAAGUUUUUUAGGAAUGUUGCAAAUGAAAAGACAUCAGUAAUCUCGCAUGAAUCCACCAAUGCAAGGAACGCUCCAGCUGAAUUGACAUCAGUAAUCUCUCAUGGAGCUGCCAAUGCAAGUUUUUAGGAAUGCUGCAGAUGUAUUGACAUCAGUAAUAUCUGAUGGAGCCACCAAUGAAAGGAAUGCUGCAGAUGAAUUGACAUCAGUAGUCUCUGAUGGAGCUGCCAAUGCAAGGAAUGGUUGAGAUGAAUAGACAAUAUUAAUCUCUAAUGGAGCCGCCAAUGCAAGUUUUUUAGGAGUGCUGCAGAUGAACUGACAUCAGUAAUCUCUGAUGGAGCUGCCAACACAAGGAAUGCGGCAGAUGAAGUUGACAUCAGCAAUUACUGAUGAUGCGGCCAGUGAAAGAAUUUUUUAGCUAUACUGCAGAUGAAUUGACAUGAGAGAUCUCUGAUGGACCCACCAGUGCAAGGAAUGUUGCAGAUAAAUAAUCUCGGGUGGAGCUGCCAAUGGAAGGAGAGGUAUACUAAUUUCAAGCAAAAAAGUGUAACUCUCUGAAGUCACUUGGCGUCUGAUGAUAUGUGUUUUGAAUUUUUGAGGAAUACUGUACAUGAAUUGACAUGAGAAAUCUCUGAUGGACCCACCAGUGUAAGGAAUGCUGCAGAUGAUUUGGCAUCAGAAAUAUUUGAUGGUGCCGCCAAUGCAAGAUGAGGCAUGCAGGUUUCAAGAAAAAUGCAUUUAUCUCUGAAGUCACUUGGAGACUGAUCAUACAUGUUUUCAAUUUUUUAGAAAUAUUGCAAAUGAACUGACAUCAGUAAUCUCACAUGAAUCCGCCAAUGCAAGGAAUGCUGCAGAUGAAUAGACAUGGGUUAUAUUUUAUGUAGCGGCCAAUGCAAGUUGAAGCAGUUGAGUUUCAAGCAAAAAUUUGUAAGGAUUAGAUGUCAUUUGGAGACUAAUCAUACACGUUUUGAAUUAUUAAGAAAUGCUGCAGAUGAAUUGAGAUAUCUAAUCACUGAUGGACCUGCCAGUGCAAGGAAUGCUGAAGAUGAAUGGACAUCAGCAAUCCCUGAUGAUGCAGCCAGUGUAAGAUGAGUUGACAAGAGAAAUCUCUGAUGGACCCACCAGUGCAUGGAAUAUUGCGAAUGAAUUGACACCAGUGACCUCAUAUGAAUCUGCCAAUGCAAGGUGAUGUGUACUAAUUUCAAGCCAAAAGUAUACCUCGCUGAAGUCACUUGGAGUCUGAUCAUACAUGAUUUGAAAUUUUUAGGAAUGUUGCAGAGUAAUUGACAUCAUUAAUCUCUGAUGGAGCUGCCAAUGCAAGGUGAUGUAUACUAAUUUCAAGAAAAAACGUGUAACACUCUGUGGUUACUUGAAAUCUAAUCUUACAAGUUUUGAGUUUUUUAGGAAUGCUGUAGAUGAACUGACAUCAGUAAUAUAUGAUGGAUCCGACCGUGCAAGGUGAGGGGUACUCAUUUCAAUCAAAAACGUGUAACUCUCUGAAGUCACUUGGAGUCUGAUCAUACAUGUUUUGAAUAUUUUAGAAAUGCUGCAGAUGAACUGUCAUAAGUAAUACCUUCUGCAGCGGAUAAUUCUAGGCGAGUCAUACGAGUUUCAAGCAAAAAUGUUUCAAGCCUACUUGGAGGCUGAUCAUACAUGUUUUGACUUUCUUAGGAAUGCUGCAGAUGAAUUGACAUCAGCAAUCCCUGAUGCUGCGGCACGAUUAAGGUAAGGUAUACUACUUUCAAACAAAAAAGUGUAUAUCUUUGAAGUCACUUGGAUUUUGACCAUAAUUGUUUAGAAUUCUUUAGGAAUACUGCAGAUGAUUUGGCAAAAAUCUCUGAUGGACACAACAGUGCAUGGUGAGGUAUACUAAUUUCAAGCAAAAAUCAUGUUUUACUCUCUGAACUCACUUGGAGACUGAUCAUACGUGUUUUCAAUUAUUUAGGAAUAUCGCAAAUAAAUUAGCAUCAGUAAUCUCAUAUGAAUCUGCCACUGCAAGGUGAGGUAUACUAAUUUCAAGCCAAAAGUAUACCUCCCUGAAGUCACCUGGAGUCUGACCAUACAUGGUUUGAAUUUUUUAGGAAUGUUGCAGAGAAAUUUAUAUCAUUAAUCUCUGAUGGAGCUGCCAAUGCAAAGUGAUGUAUACUAAUUUCAAGAAACAAAAUGUAAUACUCUGAAGUCUCUUGGAGUCUGAUCAUACAAGUUUUGUUUUUUAAGGAAUGCAGCAGAUGAACAGACAUCAGUAAUCUCUGAUGGAUCCUUCAGGGCAAGGAAUGCUGCAGAUGAAUUAUCAUCAGUAAUACCUUAUGGAGCAGACAAAGCAAGGAAUGCUGCAGAUGAACUGACAUCAUCACUCCAUGAUGAUGCGGCCAGAUUAAGGAAUACUGCAGAUGAAUUGGUAGAAAUCUGUGAUAGACCUAAUAGUGCAUGGUGAGGUAUACUAACUUCAAGCAAAAACAUGUUUUACUCUCUGAAGUCUCUUGUAGACUGACCAUACAUGUUUUCAAUUAUUUUGGACUAUUGCGAAUGAAUUGACAUGAGUGACCAUAUGAAUCUGCCAACGCUAGGUGAGGUAUACUAAUUUCAAGCCAAAAGUAUACCUCCCUGAUGUCACUUGGAGUCUGAUCAUACAUGAUUUGAAAUUUUUAGGAAUAUUGCAGAGAAAUUGAUAUUAUUAAUCUCUGAUGGAGCUUCCAAUGCAAGGUUAUGUAUACUAAUUUCAAGAAAAAAAGUGUAAUACUCUGAAGUCACUUGGAGUCUGAUCAUACAAGUUUUGAGUUUUGAGGAAUGCAGCAGAUGAACGGACAUCAGUAAUCUCUGAUGGAUCCGCCAGGUCAAGGAAUGCUGCAAAUGAAUUGUCAUCAGUAAUACCUUAUGGAGAGAACAAUGCAAGGAAUGCUGCAGACGAACUGACAUCAACAAUCCCUAAUGAUGCGGCCAGAUUAAGGAAUACUGCAGAUGUGUUGACAUGAGAAAUCUCUGACGGACCCACCAGUGCAAGGAAUGUUGCAGAUGUAUUGAGGUCAUUAAUCUCAGAAGAAGCUGCCAAAGCAAGAAGAGGUAUAUCAAUAUCAAGCUAAAAAGUGUAACACUCUGAAGUCACUUGGAGUCUGAUCAUACAAGUUUUGAGUUUUUUACGAAAGCUGCAGAUGAACUGACAUCAGUAAUCUAUGAUAGAUCUGCCAGUACAAGGUGAGGGGUACUCAUUUCAAUCAAAAACAUGUAACUCUCUGAAGUCACAUGGAGUCUGAUCAUACAUGUUUGAAUUUUUUAGGAAUGCUGCAGAUGAUUUAGCAUCAGAAAUAUUUGAUGGUGCCGGCAAUGCAAGUUCAGGCACACGAGUUUCAAGCAAAAAUGCGUUUAUCUCUGAAGUCACUUGGAGACUGAUCAUACAUGUGUUGACUUUUCUAGGAAUGCUGCAGAUGAAUUGACAUGGGUUAUAUCUCAUGUAGCGGCCAAUGCAAGUUGAGGCAGUUGAGUUUCAAGCAAAAAUUUGUAAGGAUUAGAUGUCAUUUGGAGACUAAUCAUACAUGUUUUGAAUUUUUAAGAAAUUCUGCAGACAAAUUGAGGUCUUUAAUCUCGGAUGGAUCCGCGAGUGAAAGGUGAGGUGUUUCAGUCAAAAACGUGUAAUGCUCUCAAGUCACUUGGAGUCUAAUUAUAUAUAUUUUGAAAUUUUUAGGAAAGUUGCAAAUGUAUUAAGAUCGGUAAUCUCACGUGAAUCUGGCAAUGCAAUGUGAGGUCUACUAAUUUCAAGCAAAAAUUGCACCUCUCUGAAUUCACGUGGAGUCUGAUCAUACAUGAAUUGAGUUUUUUAGGAAUGUUGCAGACGUAUUGAGAUCAUUAAUCUCAGAAGAAGCUGCCAAAUCAAGAAGUGGUAUACCAAUAUCAAGCUAAAAAUGGUAACUCUCUGAAGUCACUUGGAGUGGGAUCAUACAUGUUUUGAAUUUUUUAGGAAUGCUACAGAUGCUUUGUCAUCCAUAACAUGUGAUGGAGCCGCCAAUGCAAGGAAUGCUGAAGAUGAAUUCACAUCAGCAAUCCCUGAUGAUUCGGCCAGAUCAAGGAAUACUGCAGGAGAAUUGGAAGAAGUCUCUGAAGUACCCACCAGUGAAUGGUGAGGUAUACUAAUUUCAAGCAAAAAUCAUGUUUUCUCUCUGAAGUCACUUGGAGACUGAUAAUAAAUAUUUUCAAUUAUUUAGGAAUAUUGCAAAUGAAUUGACAUCAGUAAUCUCAUAUGAAUCUGCCAAUGCAAGGUGAUGUGUACUAAUUUCAAGCCAAAAGUAUACCUCCCUGAAGUCACUUGGAGUCUGAUCAUACAUGAUUUGAAUUUUUCAGGAAUGUUGCAUAGAAAUUGAUAUCAUUAAUCUCUGAUGGAGCUGCCAAUGCAAGGUCAUGUAUGCUAAUUUCAAGAAAAAAGUGUAAUACUCUGAAGUCACUUGGAGUCUGAUCAUACAAGUUUUGAGUUUUUGAGGAAUACAGCAGAUGAACUGACAUCAGUAAUCUCUGAUGGAUCCUCCAGGGCAAGGAAUGCUGCAGAUGAAUUGUCGUCAGUAAUACCUUAUGGAGCGGUCAAGGCAAGGAAUGCUGCAGAUGAACUGACUUCAGAAAUCCCUGAUUAUGCGGCCAGAUUAAGGAAUACUGCAGAUGAAUUGGCAGAAAUCUCUGAUGGACGCACCAGUGCAUGGAAUGUUGCAAAUAAAUUGACUGGAGUGACCUCAUAUGAAUCUGCCAAUGCAAUGGGAUGUAUACUAAUUUCAAGCCAAAAGUAUACCUCACUGAAGUCACUUGGAUUCUGAUCAUACAUGAUUUGAUUUUAGGAAUGUUGCAGGUGAAGUGAGAUAAUUAAUCUCUGAUGGAGCUGCAAAUGCAAGGUGAUGUAUACUAAUUUCAAGAAAAAAAUGUGUAACACUCUGUAGUCACCUGGAGUGUAAUCUUACAAGUUUUGAGUUUUUUAGGAAUGCUGUAGAUGAACUGACAUCAGUAAUCUAUGAUGAAUCUGCCCGUGCAAGGUGAGGUGUACUCAUUUCAAUCGAAAAUGUGUAACUCUCUGAAGUCGCUUGGAGUCUCAUCAGACAUGUUUUGCAUUUUUAAGAAUGUUGCCGAUGAAUUGUCAUCAGUAAUCCCUUCUGCAGUGGAUAAUUCAAGGAAUGAUGCAGAUGAAUUGACAUCAGCAAUCCUUGAUGAUGCAGCCAGAGCAAGUAAUACUGCAGAUGAAUUGGCAGAAAUAUCUGAUGGAACAACCAGUGCAUGGAAUUAUGCAAAUGGAUUGACAUCAGUAAUCUCAUAUGAAUCUGCCAACACAAGGAAUCCUGCAGAUGAACUUACAUCAGUACUCUCUGAUGGAUCCGCCAGUGCAAGGAAUGUUGCAGAGAAAUUGAUAUCAUUAAUCUCUGAUGGAGCUGCCAAUGCAAGGUGAUGUAUACUAAUUUCAAGAAAAAUGUGUAAUACUCUGAAGUCACUUGAACUCUGAUCAUACACGUUUUGAGGAAUGCAGCAGAUGAAUGGACAUCAGUAAUCUCUGAUGGAUCCGCCAGGUCAAGGAAUGCUGCAGAUGAAUUGUCAUCAGUAAUACCUUAUGGAGAGAACAAUGCAAGGAAUGCUGCAGAUGAACUGACAUGAGCAAUCCGAGUCAAGCAAAAGUGCGUUUUUCUCUGAAGUCACUUGGAGACUGAUCACACAUGUUAUGAAUAUUUUAGGAAUGUGGCAGAUGAUUUGACAUCAGUAAUCUGGAAUGGAGCUGCAAAUGCAAAGUGAAGUGUAUGAGAUUCAAGCAAAAAGUGUAACACUCUGACAUCACCUGAAGUCUGAUCACACAUUCUUUGACUUUUUUAAAAAUUAGGCAGAUGAAUCGUCAUCAAUAAUCUCUGAUGGAACCGCCAAUACAAGGAGAGGUAUACUGCUCUCAAUCAAAAUAUUGUUACUCUCUGAAGUCACUUGGAGUCUGAUGACACGUUCUUUGACUUUUCUACAAAUUCAGCUGAUGAAUUGAUAUCAGUAAUCUACAAUGGAACUGCCAAUACAAGUAGAGGUAUACUAUUUUCAAGCAAAAAAGUGUAAUGCUCUGAAGUCACUUGGAGUCUCAUCAUGCAUGUUUAGAAUAUUUUAGGAAUGCUGCAGAUGAUUUAAAGUCAGUAUUGUUUCAUGUUGCCACCAAUGCAAGGUGUGGCACACGAUUUUCAAGUAAGAAUGUAUAACUCUCUGAAGUCAUUUGGUGUCUGACCUUAUGUGCUUUGAAUUUUUUAGAAACCCUGGACAUGAACUGAUGUGAGAAAUAUCUCAAGGACCCAUCAAUUCAGUGUCAGGGUGACUAACUUCAACCAAAUACAUAUUUUACUCUCUGAAGUCACUUGGAGACUGUUCAUACAUAUUUUCAAUUUUUCAGGAAUGUUGGAAAUGCAUUAACAUCUGUAAUCUCACAUGAAUCCACCAAUGCAUUGUUAGAUGUACUAAUUUCAAGCAAAUGGUGUACGUCCCUGAAAUAACUUGGACCCCCAUCACAUAUGAUUUGAAAAUUUUAGGAAUGGUGCAGGAGAAUUGAGGUAAAGAAUCUCUCAUGGACCUGCAAUGCAAGGUGAUUUAUACUAAUUUCAAGUAAAAAAUUGUAACUCUUUGAUGUCACUUGGGGUCUGAUCAUCCGUGUUUAGAAUUUUUUAGGAACGCUACAGAUGUAGUGACAUCAGUAGUUUUUGAUGGAGCCGCUAAUUCAAAGUGAGUUCUAAGAGUUUCAAGCAAAACCUGUACUACUCUGAAGUCACUUGUAGUCUGAUCACUCAUUCUUUGACUUUUUUUAGAAAUUUAGCAGAUGAAUCACAUCAGUAAUCUCUGAUGGAGCCACCAAUGCAAGAACAACCAUGUCAGUCCUGCACCAGAAAAGCAGAGCAGACAUCAAACCCAGUCACAGAGGCCAAGCCCUCCCCAUUCGGUUCACCCAAAGUGGACUGCUACUCAGCCUUGAGUCACUACAAGACACGUGGUAAAAUUCCCUUGCAGACACUGGGUGUAGUUGUUGGGACAACCUGGAGUGGAACAGUGGGAUUUUUUAAUCCAAUAUCCACACCACUCCACCAAAAACCUGUUACAGCUAAAAAUAAAAUCAAUAAUCUUACAGGAUACAAAAUCAAUAUACAGAAGUUGUUUGCUUCUGUUCACCAAUAACCAUCAGAAAGAGAGAUUAAGAAAACAAUGCCCUUUACAACUGCAUCAUAAAGAAUAAAGUACCUAAGGACAAGCCUAACCAAUGAGGUGGGAGGCUUGAGGCCUGAGCUCUGAACACUGUGGACACUGAAGACCUGGACGGAAGGAGUGAGGUUAUUACAAGUCCCGUCCACCCACAGCAACCUGCAGAUUCCGUGGGACCCCCCACCGAAAUUCCACCACACUUCACACAGAAGCAAACACCCAACAGGCUGAAUGGAACUGCACAGGACCCCCAUCCCCACAGCCGUCCUGAGAAAGUACAGCCCAGGCAUCAUGUCCUGACCUCCCACUACACUGUGGACCUGUAGCAACCAAGACCCCAUGUGGCGCCAAAGCAGAAGCAGGUGUGGAAACAGGACACCUGGUGCCCUUCAUCCCCCAACCUGCUCGGCCUGAAGAACCGGCUCAACGAGGCCCCCAGCACAGCCCACGGGUGGGGGCCACCCUCAGAGAGCCAGGCUGGGUCAGUGCCAUUCUGUGCCAGGAGGGGGCCUCCCAGGCAGAUCCCACCUUGGAGAACCUACCAGGAAACUGACUCAUAUGCUGGGCGCACAGCAAGGGCUGCAGCCCAGGUCCUCAGAAAACUGAGCUGUCACUAUCGACACUACCCACGGUGUCACGGAGCCGCAGGGGAGCCGGAGCAAUUUCAACACUGAUCAGAGCCAGGAGAAAAGGCCUCUGUCCUGAC